CCAGCUCCAAUAGCGUAUAUUAAAGUUGUUGCAGUUAAAAAGCUCGUAGUUGGAUUUGUGGAUGGGUUGUGGGAUACGUCCUCAUGGACGCAAUCCUUUCGGCUUGUUCAUCUUUGGUUGGAAUCUGCGUGGCAUUAAGUUGUCGUGCAGGGGAUGGCCAUCGUUUACUGUGAAAAAAUUAGAGUGUUCAAAGCAGGCUUAUGCCGUUGAAUAUAUUAGCAUGGAAUAAUGAGAUAGGACCUUGGUACUAUUUUGUUGGUUUGCGCACCGAGGUAAUGAUUAAUAGGGACAGUUGGGGAUAUUUGUAUUUCAUUGUCAGAGGUGAAAUUCUUGGAUUUCUGAAAGACAAACUACUGCGAAAGCAUUUAUCAAGGAUGUUUUCA
rnacentral:rRNA from 1 species